rnacentral:rRNA from 1 species
AGGAGGCAGCAGUGAGGAAUUUUGGACAAUGGGGGCAACCCUGAUCCAGCCAUUCCGCGUGAGUGAAGAAGGCCUUCGGGUUGUAAAGCUCUUUUGUUCGGGACGAAACGGUUUCACCUAAUACGUGGGACUACUGACGGUACCGGAAGAAUAAGCACCGGCUAACUACGUGCCAGCAGCCGCGGUAAUACGUAGGGUGCGAGCGUUAAUCGGAAUUACUGGGCGUAAAGCGUGCGCAGGCGGUUUUGUAAGCCAGAUGUGAAAUCCCCGGGCUCAACCUGGGAAUGGCAUUUGGGACUGCAAGGCUAGAGUAUGGCAGAGGGGACUAGAAUUCCUGGUGUAGCAGUGAAAUGCGUAGAUAUCAGGAGGAAUACCGAUGGCGAAGGCAGGUCCCUGGGCCAAUACUGACGCUCAUGCACGAAAGCGUGGGGAGCAAACAGGAUUAGAUACCCGGGUAGUCC